rnacentral:rRNA from 1 species
GUUAUAGGGUCAAGCGAACAAGUGCAUGUGGUGGAUGCCUUGGCGAUCACAGGCGAUGAAGGACGCGGUAGCCUGCGAAAAGCUACGGGGAGCUGGCAAACAAGCUUUGAUCCGUAGAUGUCCGAAUGGGGAAACCCACUCCUUAUGGAGUAUCCAUGGCUGAAUACAUAGGCCAUGCGAAGCGAACGCGGUGAACUGAAACAUCUAAGUAACCGCAGGAAAAGAAAUCAACCGAGAUUCCCAAAGUAGUGGCGAGCGAAAUGGGAUGAGCCUUGUACUCUUUAUUUGUAUUGUUAGCCGAACGCUCUGGAAAGUGCGGCCAUAGCAGGUGAUAGCCCUGUAGGCGAAAACAGUAUGAAAGAACUAGGUGUACGACAAGUAGGGCGGGACACGUGAAAUCCUGUCUGAAGAUGGGGGGACCAUCCUCCAAGGCUAAAUACUCGUGAUCGACCGAUAGUGAACCAGUACCGUGAGGGAAAGGCGAAAAGAACCCCGGGAGGGGAGUGAAAUAGAUCCUGAAACCGCAUGCAUACAAACAGUCGGAGCCUCUUCGGGGGUGACGGCGUACCUUUUGUAUAAUGGGUCAGCGACUUACGUUCAGUAGCAAGCUUAACCGUAUAGGGCAGGCGUAGCGAAAGCGAGUCCGAAUAGGGCGUUCAGUUGCUGGGCGUAGACCCGAAACCAGGUGAUCUAUCCAUGGCCAGGAUGAAGGUGCGGUAACACGUACUGGAGGUCCGAACCCACUAACGUUGAAAAGUUAGGGGAUGAGCUGUGGAUAGGGGUGAAAGGCUAAACAAACCUGGAAAUAGCUGGUUCUCUCCGAAAACUAUUUAGGUAGUGCCUCGUGUCUCACCUUCGGGGGUAGAGCACUGUCAUGGUUGGGGGGUCUAUUGCAGAUUACCCCGCCAUAGCAAACUCCGAAUACCGAAGAGUGCAAUCACGGGAGACAGACAUCGGGUGCUAACGUCCGGUGUCAAGAGGGAAACAACCCAGACCGCCAGCUAAGGUCCCCAAAUAUGGCUAAGUGGGAAACGAAGUGGGAAGGCUAAAACAGUCAGGAGGUUGGCUUAGAAGCAGCCACCCUUUAAAGAAAGCGUAAUAGCUCACUGAUCGAGUCGUCCUGCGCGGAAGAUGUAACGGGGCUAAGCCAUAUACCGAAGCUGCGGAUGCG